rnacentral:rRNA from 1 species
UACAGAGGGUGCGAGCGUUGUCCGGAAUUAUUGGGCGUAAAGGGCUCGUAGGCGGUUUGUCGCGUCGGGAGUGAAAACGCCGUGCUUAACACGGCGCUUGCUUUCGAUACGGGCAGACUAGAGGUAUUCAGGGGAGAACGGAAUUCCUGGUGUAGCGGUGAAAUGCGCAGAUAUCAGGAGGAACACCGGUGGCGAAGGCGGUUCUCUGGGAAUGACCUGACGCUGAGGCGCGAAAGCGUGGGGAGCAAACAGG